AACGCACCUUGCACUCUUUGGUAUUCCGAAGAGUAUGUCUGUUUGAGUGUCGUGAAACUCUCAACCCCCCUAUUUUGUAAUGAGAUAGGCCUGUGGGCUUGGAUUAUGGCUGUUUUGCCGGACCUUUAUUGGACCGGCUCGGCUGAAAAACACGAGCUGACCCGUACUUUGAAAUACAGCGACGGCUUGACUCGGCGUAAUAAUACUUAUCUCGCUGAGGACGUUUAGCACUUUUUCAAUAGUAUUUGUGGCUGCUACUAGCGCGAAUGUAACCAAUCAUUCACUUAAGCUUUAGACCUCAAAUCAGGCAGGACUACCCGCUGAACUUAA
rnacentral:misc_RNA from 2 species